rnacentral:rRNA from 1 species
CACGUAGGGCGCAAGCGUUGUCCGGAAUCACUGGGCGUAAAGGGCGCGUAGGCGGCUCAUGAAGGCUGUGGUGAAAGUCCGGGGCUCAACCUCGGAUCGGCCGUGGCGACUCGUGGGCUGGAGCACUGUAGAGGCGGGUGGAAUUCCGGGUGUAGCGGUGGAAUGCGUAGAGAUCCGGAAGAACACCAGUGGCGAAGGCGGCCCGCUGGGCAGUGGCUGACGCUGAAGCGCGACAGCGUGGGGAGCAAACAGG